AUGAGUCGACCUGAAGUGCUGAAGUCUUCUCUCGAAAUUAAAAACCUGGACCCCGGGGACUCGGCCGUGUAUUUCUGCGCCUCCAGUAUGGCACAACCAUCAAGGGCACACUUGUUGGAUUAUAUCAAUAGUGAAGUUUGCUGUGCCUCUGGUGCGAAUCAGCCUUACUUCGGUGAAGGAACAAGGCUAACCGUACUGGAACAUGACCUCAAAACACCAACAGUGAAGGUGCUUCCGCCAUCCCCACAACAGAUCUGUAACAAAGCCACAGUGACCCUGGUAUGUGUGGUCACAAACUUCUAUCCUGACCAUGUCGAAGUGAACUGGAAAUUCAAUGGAGUGGAUGUGGGAACUGUGGGAGUCAGUACUGAUGACAGGGCACUGCAGGCCCCUGACGGCAAGACCUACAGCAUCACUAGCAGAUUCCUAACCACAAAAAAGCGCUGGUUCAACACCAAGAACACAUUCACCUGUGUGACCAAAUUCUAUAAUGGGACUCGAGAUGAAUUUUUUCAAGGCUCCAUAAAUGGAGACAAAGCUCCAGGGGGUGUCAGUGCAGAGACUGUUAAACAAGAUGCACUGUGGGCAAAGCUUUCUUACGGGAUUCUCAUUGCUAAGAGUUUCUUUUAUGGACUCUUUGUCUUCGCUGUGGUUUGGAAGCUGAGGCGGUCAUCUGGAAAGAGGCAAAUGUGAGCCUUAACAGCUCAAGUGCUACAGGCUUGAGCUAUGGCAAGAAAGAGGGGCUGACCGGCCUUGAGGAUCUCAGGUCAUGAAAUUCCACUGGAAGCCUUUGGACAGAGAAGAGCAGAAAGGUUUCUCUGCAACUUGGAUCUUUCUUUCCUUGUUUAAUCUAUACAGUAUCUGUUCCACACCUUGUAUCAUUAAAUGUUCUGUAAAAUUUUCAUCAAUUAACUAGACUUGACUAAAUAACAUGGCUUAUGGUUGCAUUAUUUUAAUAUUAAUCCACUUUUUAUAUCACUGUAAUAUAGUAAUGCAGAAUAAUAUUAAAAAGUUUGUUGAUUUCUACAGCACAGUU